GAUGAACGCUAGCGGCAGGCCUAACACAUGCAAGUCGAGGGGUAGAAGUUGCUUGCAACUUUGAGACCGGCGCACGGGUGCGUAACGCGUAUGCAAUCUGCCUUGUACUGAGGGAUAGCCCAGAGAAAUUUGGAUUAAUACCUCAUAGUAUUAUGGUAUGGCAUCACAUUAUAAUUAAAGUUCCAACGGUACAAGAUGAGCAUGCGUCCCAUUAGUUAGUUGGUAAGGUAACGGCUUACCAAGACGAUGAUGGGUAGGGGUCCUGAGAGGGAGAUCCCCCACACUGGUACUGAGACACGGACCAGACUCCUACGGGAGGCAGCAGUGAGGAAUAUUGGUCAAUGGGCGCAAGCCUGAACCAGCCAUGCCGCGUGCAGGAUGACGGUCCUAUGGAUUGUAAACUGCCUUUAUACGGGAAGAAACACUCCUACGUGUAGGAACUUGACGGUACCGUAAGAAUAAGGAUCGGCUAACCCCGUGCCAGCAGCCGCCGUAAUAC
rnacentral:rRNA from 1 species